UAGAUAACACACACACACACACACACACACACACACACACACUUAUAUCCAUGCUUGGUUAAAGAGAAACACUCUCAGGUGGUAACUACCCACAUAAUGAGAACUAUCAAAAUAAUAAUUGCAAGCAAUAAAUGCUAUUUCUAGAUAUUCCUAUGCUUAGCGCCAUGUAUUUGAAACAUCUGUGUGAUUUACUGAAUGCUGCACUCUUCAAAUAUGUCAGCAGGAUGGAAAACAAAGCCAUUGGUGUUGUACUGAACAUCCUGCUAUCUGCAAACAUCCAGGGAAUGAAAGAGCUAUUUUUCUGGCCUUUUGGAGAGCUUGGCCUGAGCAUGGGGAAGAUGAAGUACCCAAGAAUGAUGCUCGCAGAGUAACAUAAACCAUGGAAGGAUAAGGCAUUAUGGACAACAGCCCAGCUGGCUCACCUCUCACUGGGACAGUGUCCCACAGGUGCCCGGUGUGCAUGGGUCACUGCCAGGCAGUAACCCACCUAUGAGCAUAUGCUUACUGGCUGUCCUCCUUCCCUGCAUCACUUCCCUUCUCCCUCAUGUCCUUGGAUUCCUCUCUUUGGAUUCAGUAUUAGCUUUGGGGGAAACUCAUUGAACGUACAAACUCCCUGGGGAGACAGAAAAGUUACCAAAUUGUCGCAAAACUCCAAUUUUUUUUUUCCAAGUAGGAAAAUAGCCAAAUGCUAAACUCAUUCAGAUCGAAGAUCAUCUAAACCUAAGCUGCCUGGUAUGUCUGCAAUGGUAUUUUUAACACAUCCCUAAGUGUCACGAAAAUCCAUAAAGUAUUCAUUCUAAUGAAAUUUGAAGGACGUAGAAAACACAGGCAUAUUCUCUGAAAGAAUUAUCGUGUGAUGCCUCAAAUAGAAUGCACUUGCAUUUUUCAUUCUCUAAAUUUAAAGAUAAUCCUUUGGCAUUUGGGUCUUUGGACUGGCUGUGCUGCUCUGCUUUUUGUGAAAGCUAAAUAACAUUUCCUAUUCUGCAAAACAAUAUGAGACCCUGAAUCAAACCAAUUCUACUUCGUAAACUUUACUUGAAUGCUAUUUUUUUUUUUAUCAACAUCACAAGUCUAUUAGAAAUCAAAGAACAGCUGGCUUUUCACUAAAGUGAUUAUUUUUUCAUUAUUGAAUUCUGAAUAUUCAGUGUUACCUGUCUCUCUCUCGCUCCCUCUCUCCCUCUUGAGUCUUUGCAAAUUAGAUUGCUAUAUCCAAGACACCUCACUUUUCUUCAGUAAAGGGGACAGGAUGAAUAGGAAUAGAAGUAGAAAGAGAGAGACAAUAUUACUUCUAUAAUACUUUUCAGCUUCACACGGAAUGAAUAAAACAAAGACAAUUUUAACA
rnacentral:lncRNA from 1 species